GGUUGGAAGGUGCCCUGUGGCACACGAGGUGGGAGUGAAAGAGGUACUCCUACAUUCCCAGGAGAAAGUUCAGCUUAGGCUGCCGCACACCCAUUUUUGCAUGAAGAUAGAAGGUUCUGCAUGGGCAUCUUCACCCAAGGUAAAGCACAAUUUGUUCAUGGAGCUUGCUGCUGCUGGAAGCUGAGGAAGCCAAAGCACAAAUGGGAUCAGAAAGAACUGCACAAGCCCAUGGCUGGUGGCUCACGAAUGGCUUUUGAAUGAUGUCUCAGACACAACAUUGACACCAAGAUUUCCAGCAGUAGGGAGGACAACAGGAAGAACAGCCGUGCUUGCCCUCUUGUCCAGGAUACCUGGGGCUGCUGUGAAACACUCCAUGCUGUAUGUGGUGGAUAGGAGCUCCCAUUGCCAUGUGGAACACUGUGAUUUUCCCCCAUGGGUGCAGGGGUAUAACACUGUCUGGGCAGCAACAUGGAAUUGCUCCUACUCAGGUUACUGCUCUCUUCUGUCUCAUGGCCUUCCUGAACGGCAAAGUCACACAGGGAGCCAUCAGGAGGCUGCUGACACUGACUCAGAGCAAGCCUGGCCACUUCUCCUCCUCAGCUUUGCCAAGAUAACCAUCUCUGCUGGGAAGAGCCAAGAUUUCAAUGGGUGCAGAAAGAAGAGCUGCCAGUAACACAAAAGCUGUUCUAGGCACAAGAACCAAAUUCCACGGUGACCAGGACAGAUGACACAUGGCCUGAGGGAAUGACACAACAAGAGGGCUGGAGCAUGAGAAAAAUCUUAUGGAGUGGGGCAGAAAAGGGAACUUCUGCACCUGACAGCUGUAACUAUAUUUCCACACCCUGAGAGAUGUCACAGCCAAUGGCAGUCACACACACAAAUCAUUGAGACUAUGGACUUGUGUCCCUCUCCUCCUGGAGCAGCUCAGCAGAGGAGCACAAGGACAUCACUUCUGGCAUGGGUCACCCAACUGCAGAUCCCUGGAAGAUGGACUGGUGCUCAGGCAAGGCCCUGCAAGCUUUCCUUGUUCCUGCCCCGUCACCACUGAGCACUCACCAUUGAUGUGCCCUGGAGAGAGUGUGAGUUGGCUCAGAGGAUCAGGUCAGUAGUUCUUGUGUGUUUAAGCAGUGCAGAAACUCCUCUUUUCCUUGUGCUGUGCAGUGGAUUGCAGGAGAGUGACUUAGGGAGGAGUGCAAGAGGGAAGGGCCACGGGGAUGUUCUUGGUCACCGCUGUUAAUGAUGCUGCAGAGGU